CUGGUAUAGGGAUUAGAUAGGUACACUAAAGGUCUCCUACGUCGCUCAUUCAGUAUUUAGCUAGCUAGAGAAAAACCUACACAUUACACAUUCCCUAGCUUUGGUUCAACCUAUUUUAGUUUAGAAUAGGGACUUCUGGAUAAAUACAAAUAGGCAGGUGCGGGCUGGUGAUGAUGAUGAUGAUGAUGAU